rnacentral:rRNA from 1 species
AGUAACGCGUGGAUAACCUGCCUCACACAGGGGGAUAACAGUUAGAAAUGACUGCUAAUACCGCAUAAGCGCACGGCAUCGCAUGAUGCAGUGUGAAAAACUCCGGUGGUGUGAGAUGGACCCGCGUCUGAUUAGGUAGUUGGUGGGGUAACGGCCUACCAAGCCGACGAUCAGUAGCCGACCUGAGAGGGUGACCGGCCACAUUGGGACUGAGACACGGCCCAA